rnacentral:lncRNA from 10 species
AAACACCUGUGGCUAGAGAAGGGCUUGGGUACUAGGAGUGAGGACGCCUGGUUCUGGGCCCAGGACUAGUACUAGUUAGUGGUGGGACCUGGAACAAAUGCUUUGGUUCUAAGUGAAUCCCCCAUAUUCAUGACAAGGUGUUCUCACUGCUCCUCUCUGCUCUGGGAUCCGCAGGAUGACGUCUGUCCUGGUUCUUCUUCUGUCUUUCAAAGUCACUAGUCUCCAGUUCUAAAUCCGAGCACUCUUACCCAUUCUAGAGACCUACCCCCUCAUAUUCACACUUUGGCCUCCACGGGCUUCAGAGAUAGUACCAGCUCUUUGUUCUCGCUGGUUUUCUUUCCUCACCUUGGGCUGUUUCUUGCCUUUUCCAUUCUGGUGUUCUGCAAGGACCAGUUCCUUCAUCUCAUGCACAGUCUACACUCAUGGCUUUUGCUGGGAGUAAUGAGUAAAGCUCCCAAAUAGAUGUUUCUGAGUUAAAACACUGAACACAAAAUGAAGCAAAAACAACGCAUUUCCAACCUCCCAAGGUCACAUGAUGUCUAGAGGACAGUGAUGGGCAAUAACUUUUUGUCUUCCCCAUUAGAAUGCAAGCUCCACGAAUGGAACGUGGAGUUUUUUAUUUUUUAUUGUUUUUUGAGACGGAGUCUG